GUGCGUUUUGGGUCAACGAUUGCGGGUCCUCGUCAGUGGGCGGCUUCGCUGACGGCCUCCUCCGCCUGCUCCAGCGGCGGAACCCUCCUUUUUGCGGCCAGAGGAGGCCAGCGCCUCCCUCGGCUCCUGCUCUGUUUCCCCCUGUCCCUAACGAAUCGACGGCCAACGUCGCCGCCCGGGGGGUGAGACCGAUGAAACAAGAGGCCUUGACAAUCAAGCAAUCUCCAGGACCCCUCCUAAUUUAUGUUUCCGUUUUUAUUUGAAAUGCUGUAACAAAGGAUUUAGUCUAACAAAUUUUCUUUAAGAGCUACUAGUUCUUUUAUAA